rnacentral:rRNA from 1 species
GAUGAACGCUGGCGGCGUGCCUAAUACAUGCAAGUCGAGCGAACGGACGAGAAGCUUGCUUCUCUGAUGUUAGCGGCGGACGGGUGAGUAACACGUGGAUAACCUACCUAUAAGACUGGGAUAACUUCGGGAAACCGGAGCUAAUACCGGAUAAUAUUUUGAACCGCAUGGUUCAAUAGUGAAAGACGGUCUUGCUGUCACUUAUAGAUGGAUCCGCGCUGCAUUAGCUAGUUGGUAAGGUAACGGCUUACCAAGGCAACGAUGCAUAGCCGACCUGAGAGGCUGAUCGGCCGCACGGGAGCUGAGACACGGUCCAGGCUCCUACGGGAGGCCGCAGUAGGGAAUCUUCCGCAGUGGGCGAGAGCCUGACGGAACAAGGCCGCGUGAGUGAUGAAGGUCUUCGGAUCGUAAAACUCUGUUAUUAGGGAAGAACAUAUGUGUAAGUAACUGUGCAGAUCUUGACGGUACCUAAUCAGAAAGCCACGGCUAACUACGUG